CACUGCCGAGAAAAGCCUCUAGAUAGAAAAUAGGUGCCCGUACCGCAAACCGACACAGGUAGUCAAGAUGAGAAUUCUAAGGUGAGCGAGCGAACUCUCGUUAAGGAACUCGGCAAAAUGACCCCGUAACUUCGGGAGAAGGGGUGCUCUUUAGGGUUAACGCCCAGAAGAGCCGCAGUGAAUAGGCCCAAGCGACUGUUUAUCAAAAACACAGGUCUCUGCUAAACCGUAAGGUGAUGUAUAGGGGCUGACGCCUGCCCGGUGCUGGAAGGUUAAGAGGAGUGGUUAGCUUCUGCGAAGCUACGAAUCGAAGCCCCAGUAAACGGCGGCCGUAACUAUAACGGUCCUAAGGUAGCGAAAUUCCUUGUCGGGUAAGUUCCGACCCGCACGAAAGGCGUAACGAUUUGGGCACUGUCUCAACGAGAGACUCGGUGAAAUCAUAGUACCUGUGAAGAUGCAGGUUACCCGCGACAGGACGGAAAGACCCCGUGGAGCUUUACUGUAGCCUGAUAUUGAAAUUCGGCACAGCUUGUACAGGAUAGGUAGGAGCCUUUGAAACGUGAGCGCUAGCUUACGUGGAGGCGCUGGUGGGAUACUACCCUAGCUGUGUUGGCUUUCUAACCCGCACCACUUAUCG
rnacentral:rRNA from 1 species